UACGGAGGGUGCGAGCGUUAAUCGGAAUUACUGGGCGUAAAGCGCAUGCAGGUGGUUUGUUAAGUCAGAUGUGAAAGCCCGGGGCUCAACCUCGGAAGGUCAUUUGAAACUGGCAAACUAGAGUACUGUAGAGGGGGGUAGAAUUUCAGGUGUAGCGGUGAAAUGCGUAGAGAUCUGAAGGAAUACCAGUGGCGAAGGCGGCCCCUUGGACAGAUACUGACACUCAGAUGCGAAAGCGUGGGGAGCAAACAGG
rnacentral:rRNA from 1 species